UACACAUGCAAGUCGAGCGGAAACGAUCCUAGCUUGCUAGGAGGCGUCGAGCGGCGGACGGGUGAGUAAUGCAUAGGAAUCUGCCCGGUAGUGGGGGAUAACUUGAGGAAACUCAAGCUAAUACCGCAUACGCCCUACGGGGGAAAGCAGGGGCUCUUCGGACCUUGCGCUAUCGGAUGAGCUUAUGUCGGAUUAGCUGGUUGGUGAGGUAACGGCUCACCAAGGCGACGAUCCGUAGCUGGUCUGAGAGGAUGAUCAGCCACAUCGGGACUGAGACACGGCCCGAACUCCUACGGGAGGCAGCAGUGGGGAAUAUUGGACAAUGGGGGCAACCCUGAUCCAGUCCAUGCCGCGUGUGUCUA
rnacentral:rRNA from 1 species